CACUUGGGGGAAGACUGAGGAGGUGCAAGAAGACGCGAUGCGAGGCCGUCGCAAAGAUCCAGAGAGAGCGAUGGCGACGAAGGCCACAGCAAUCACCGGGAUGAGUGAGUGAGUGAGCGAGUGAGUGUGUGUGUUUCAGAGUUUUUUAAGUCCCCCCCCCUGUAGUAAUGUAGCGCAGCGGAGGGCCGACAAUUAUCUAUCUAUCUGUGCUGCUGCUGCACCUACCAUAGGGCUGUGGGGGUGCAGUGGGUGCAGGGCAGAGCGACAAUGCGGCUGGCUGGCGCCGUGAAGCGGGUGGGGAGUGGAUGAUCGAGUACAGCACACCAGCAGGGGCGAGAGUGAGAGAGAGAAAGACCCAGAAGGGGCCCUGACUUUCCUCAGGAUUCCAGUGGAGGAUGGGACAUAGGAGGACUCGCACAGACAGACAGAGAGAGAGAGAUGGAUUGUCCAACAGACGGGGUGUCUGAACUCCGCGGCGCCCGUAGCGAAAAGAAGCUCCGGGAGGAACCUGGAAGGAAGCUGUGUUGAUCGGGUUGACAAGCACAGUAGGCGAGCUCCGCCAGGGUAGGGGGCUGGUACUGGGUGCCCACCUUGAGCACGACGCGGGGGCUGUGAGGGGGCGAGAUCAGCGAGCCGUGGUAUGCAAAUCCGGAGGGGAGAGGGUAGAACAGCGACGCCCUUUCAUCACGCUCCGUGCUUCUUCAGACUUCGGUCGCCGUUCGGUGAGGACAAUGUUGCACCAGCACUGGAAGACUGGCCCUUUGGGUCAAUUGGUUGAUUGUGGAAUUCAAUCAAGCUGUGAUAGGUCCUGACUUUGGCUGGGACGCCUGGAUGGGACGGGUGUUGCAGUGCUUCCCCCUGUUUGAGUUUGACGUCGAUGCUAACGCUUUGUAGUCGCUGCAGAAAAUUCAGUCUAUUUCCUUUGUAUUCUUCGUCUUCUUCUUCUUCCCCUCUUUCUUUCCCCCUUCCUUUCUUUUCUUUCUCUUUCUCUCCCCCUUUUCUGUUGUUUUCAAAGAGCGAAGAUGGAGUGUUUACAGUAUGAAGAAAAAUUUGUUCCUCAAAGAGGUUCCAUGGAAGAAACUCCAGUGCCAGAGCACAAGGGGAACGUGCAGAUUGGGUUCAAUACUGACGUUAGCCCGUAAACGUCAACUGGGUUAUUUCGGUACAAGGCUGGCUUUCGUGACAGAAUCCCUGCAGUUGAUUGAUGACAGAGAUUUGUGAGCUUUAAUGAGUGGAAUGGGAGGGAGUUUGUAAUUGGAUGAAAACAAUUACUGUGAAAAGUGGACUUGUAUGUCGUGGAGGAGAUGACAAAUGUGAUCAGCUGAUGUCGUAUUUAACAGACUAGCAGUAUGUUUCUAUCUUUUCCUUGGAGGACUUUUCCCUUUUUUGGACAAGUGCAGAUUGGGAGUCUGAAUGCUGGAUACAAUUAUUUGUGUCUGCUCCACACGCGCACAAUUUUAAAUUAGUAAACAUGGGCAUCCAGCAUCUGGAAACCUCAUUUCCUGAGCUACUAAUUGACGACAAUGUUUAUUAAUUUAAAAUAUAAGGCUUCCAGCUGUUACCAAU